rnacentral:misc_RNA from 1 species
AAGUCGUAACAAGGUUUCCGUAGGUGAACCUGCGGAAGGAUCAUUAACACGUAUCCAAACGUUAAAACCCCCCCCGUGAACCUUCAUUCUGCUCUUGUAACCCGGUGAUUCAGAGACCUCUGGCUACGUGCGAACAUUGGAACAGUUACAAUCGAGCGGUAGUUCUAUAGGCAAUGUUUCCCCAAGCAGUCAGUGUCGGAAAGUGUCAUUGAUUGUGCAAGGAUAGCGCUUCUACGAUUCCUGUAGACCGUACACUCGGGCAGGAGCUUUGCCAAAGGGUCCCCAUGCCCCCUAAUAACCCCACAGUUUAAUGUGAAGCUCAAUGUAAUACAUUGGGUAAAAAAACCGAACAACUGUUAACAAUGGAUAUCUUGGUUCUC